AUUGCUUCUCGGCCUUUUGGCUAAGAUCAAGUGUAGUAUCAUAAUCUGUAAAGUAAAUAUUUCGUAUUAAUCUAAGAUGAAUAUUAUAUAGCCCAAUUUUACAGUGUUUCAGAAAAUACGUUUGAAAUUUCCAGACAGGAAUUUGACAAACAGUUUUGGUAUUAUUUCUUCAAAUCCCGUUCAAUCCUU
ensembl:snRNA U2 U2 spliceosomal RNA